rnacentral:rRNA from 1 species
AUUGAACGCUGGCGGCAGGCCUAACACAUGCAAGUCGAGCGAGCGGCGGACGGGUGAGUAAUGUCUGGGAAACUGCCUGAUGGAGGGGGAUAACUACUGGAAACGGUAGCUAAUACCGCAUACUAAUAGAUGUGCCCAGAUGGGAUUAGCUAGUAGGUGGGGUAACGGCUCACCUAGGCGACGAUCCCUAGCUGGUCUGAGAGGAUGACCAGCCACACUGGAACUGAGACACGGUCCAGACUCCUACGGGAGGCAGCAGUGGGGAAUAUUGCACAAUGGGCGCAAGCCUGAUGCAGCCAUGCCGCGUGUGUGAAGAAGGCCUUCGGGUUGUAAAGCACUUUCAGCGGGGAGGCGUUACUCGCAGAAGAAGCACCGGCUAACUCCGUGCCAGCAGCCGCGGUAAAC